AGCCUAUGAAUACUUUCCAAAUCAAGUGCUGGCAUUGCACGAUGCUUCCUCAUUGAUGGCAGCCCCGUUUCAUUGUUUUUUUCACUUCUUGGCUCUUCCAUCCAUGUCAGCAAUGCCAAGUCUCAGCUUGUGGGUGGGGCCUGACCCUGGUGCAGUACCCUCUGUGGCCUCCCUUUCUUGGGCAGAAGCUCCUUUUUUUUCUUCUUCUCCAUGGCUGCCCCACCAAACCUCCAUCUUAAACCUUUAAACCUUGAAAUGCUAUAAAUUGUGACUGGUAUUUAUUCUCAGCAAGGUUUCUUCCUGAUGUGCAUCCUGCUUCUGGAAACACCACCCCUCCAUCCUGAUCAUCAUUCGUUCCAUGCCUAGGAAUUCAACUCACUUGAAUAUCAACCUACAUUUGAAGGCAUGGAGUUCCAAUAUAAAAAAGACACUCUCCUGUAGUGCCUUCCAAACUCUGCGAGUUUAUAAGAACCGUGUCCCCCUCAUUCACCACUAUAUUACCUGACACAUGAUUUAAAUCUUGCAAUCACCGCUGGGAAGUGAGCUGUAUCAUCUUGAGAAAUCAGACCACAGAGUCGGGCCUGCAGCUGGCAGGCUAGGUCAUCUUUAAUCGCUUAACCCUUCAUAUCAAAGGAUGGGUUGUAGCAGCAGAUUCUUCCUCAAGAAUUUGCCGUGGCAGAUUUUCUCAAGGAAAAGCUGGGAGUUAAAAUGAAGCAGAGUAUGUACAGCAAAAACCUUGCCUUAAAUGCACAUUAACAAGUCAAGUGUGGGCAGUGCUGGCCUUCUCCAGUGAUACUUUACUGAGGCCUUGGGAAGAAAGCCAAGAAGAAACCAGCCCAGGGAGGAUGCUGAGGAUGCUGCACUGUGACUUGCUCCUCAGCAGCGAAAGGAUUCCCCUUAUCCCCGCUUGCAGCUCAUCUUCAUGGGGUGGGCAUCACUUCCGCACCUGUUACCCAGGAGCGCACCCCGGGCGUCUUGACUCCUUGAAGAACGGUGCCUAUGAAAUGCGGCUCUGAGAGAAACAAAAUUCUCUUCGCUGCCUGAGGCCUGCCUUUCGGGAACCUGCCGCCUCUUUGGAUAAUUGACUCUAGGGAUGCUUGUCCCUCUCAAGGGAGACCACGUGCACUUCCAGGGACAAGACUUUUACCCUGCAGACCACAACAGGGUAUCCGGAUGUAAUUAUAAUGAUUGGCCUAAUCGAGAUGGCUCUACUCAUGAGUAAAAGCAGAGGUUGUGUGAGAAAAUUCUGUGUGUGUGUGUGCGCGCACGCGUAAAUGCAAGAAUGUUGGCUCAGAAGUCAGGGCACAUGACUUUUACAGUUCCAGCUCCAGUCCUAUCUUUUUAAGCAAAUUUUUAAAUAGUUUUUAUUUAUUUAUUCAUUUAAGUGAUCAGUACACCCAACAUGGAGCUUAAAUUCACAAUCCCAAGAUCAAGAGUCGCACGCUCUUCUAACUGAGGCAGCCAGGCACCCCAGCUCCAGUCCUGCCUUACAAGAAAUUUCUACUCGGUGUGACCUGAGGGAGCUUAGGGUAGAACCUAAUCUGCUAUUAAUACAGUCCUUUGGGUCUGAAGGACAUUUUUUUUUUCUAAGAAUCCUGUCUUAACACAGAGGAAUACUCACAAACUCCUUUGUUCUUGGUUAACUCCUAAGUGGAAGUUAGCAGACAAGGCAGGGGGUGGAUGCUUUGGAGAUACUAGGGAACUCUGAUGCACAUGUGGACACCAGGACUUAUUACACUUCGUACUUUAGGUUGUAUCCAGGCCUGGAUCUGCCCAGCUUUCUUGCAAAUAAAUGCAUGUCACAUACUGCUCAAAAGCAUGUGCUACAUCAGUUAGGUCAGAGGCUCAAUAUGACUGAUCUUUCUUCUUUUUGUUUUCAUGUGGUAGAUUUAAGGAUAUUAUGUGUAGGAGAGAAAAAAAAUGAUUGGAUUAAGUAUAUUAUUAUUAACAUGAAAGAUAUAUUAGCAUAUAAUAUACAUAUAACAUAUAAUAUGGUAUAUUAACAUAUAAUAAUUAAGUAUAUUAUUAUUAACAUGAAAAUAACUGGCCUUAUUAAGUACUGGCAAUUGCCAAGCCCUAUAUGAAGCCCCUUAUCCAAUAUUAUUUAUCCAAUAAUCCAGUAGUAGAAUUACUACUCCAGUUUUCCAGAUAAGGAAGCUGAGAUCCUUAACUGAAAGGUUGAACUGUCUCAUCUAUGGUUGCUGCUAAGUGUUGGAAGUAAACCUGAAUAUAGCAGGCCUGUCUGGUGUUAAAGCACUGCCUUUAUUUUUACUUAAAUUUAUUUUGAACUAUUUCAAUCACACAGAAAACUUUAGAGAACAACACAAUAGACACUCAUGUUCCUAUCACCCAAUGUUAUUAGAUCUUAAUAUUCUGUCAUACUUGCUUUAUAUUUCAGGGUAUUUUUUAAAGGUAGGAAAUUUGUCUUUUUAAAAUUUGUGUGUAGAAAUUCUUUGUAGAGUCUGGAUGUUAAUUAUAUGAAUUGCAAUUUAUUUAUGAUAACAAGCAGAAAGUUUACAUUUAUUUAAAUGUAAUCAACUGUUUACAGUUGAGGUUUUUAGUCUUGUUAGGAUUUUUUCGUGGUUAGUGAUUGGUGGGUCCUAUUUUUGAAAUGUUUUUCUUUGUUAUCACCAAGAUAGCCUCCUUUUUCAGUUUUUUAGAGCGUUUCUUCCCACACCUAUCUGGAAUUUAAUGUUUGUGAAUACAGUGAAGUGGAGAUCUACUUUCAUCCUUCCAAGAUGGAGCAGGACUUACCCCAGGACACUUCAUUCACCCUCAUUCUCCUCUGUGCCGAAUGAAAGUGGCUUCUCUGCUCUGUGUUCUGUCUCAUUGUUCUGUGGUCUGGGGCUGUGCCAGCACCAAACUAUUGCUUUGUUAGAAAACUCGAUAUGGGCAGGGCACAUCUCUUCAUGUCAUUCUUCUGCUUGUCCUUAGGUAAUUUGGACUUCUUACUCAUGCAUGUUAGGAUCAGCUUGUGUAGCUCCAUAAAAAGCCCCGUCAGAAUUUGGAUUGUAAUUGCAUUGAAUUAAUAUAUUAAUUUGGGGGUGGAAUUGAGCCUUUAUACAAUCGAGGCUUCCCAGGCAUGCACACAGUAUAGCUUUCCAUUUGUGGAAGUUUCUUUCAUGAUUCCCAGUAACAUUUUAGAAAAUUUCUCUAUAAAGUUCUUACGAAGAUUUUUUUCACUUUUAUUCUUGAGGAGUUCAUCAUUUUUCUUGCUGUUGUAAAUGAGAUAUUUUUCCUAUUAUUUCUUCACAUUAGCAUAUAGGAAUGUUGUUAGCUCUUUAAAGAUUGCUUUUUGUACAUGAGAAUUGCUUAAUUUUCUUAUUUGUUCUAAUACUUGAUCAAUACCUUCAUAUUUUCUGUAUGUAAAAAUACGUUAUCAUAAAUAAGGUUGGUUUUUAUCUUCCUUUCCAUUUUUUAUAUCUCAUUCUUUAAUCUUGAUAUUAUUAGUUGGCUAGGACAUCUAGUAUAAAAGCUUUUUAUGUGCCUAUUGAGAAAGUCAUAUGAUAUAUCUCCUUUAUAUUAGAGCAUCCUUACCUUCCUUUGAUAAAAGUAUUUUUGAAAUAUUUUUAUAUUUUUUAUGAAAUUUAUUCGUUUAUAUUUUAUUUAGGAUUUUUAUAUCUGUGUUCACAAAAAUGUUUAUAAUUUGAUUACUUGUGCUGCCUUUGUCACAUUUUGGUAUUAGAAGAUUAGAUGGGUAACUUUCUCUUAUUUUUCCUUUCUCUGAAAUAUUUUAUAAAAGAUAUGCAUUGUCUGCUCCUUAUAGAUUUGCUAAGUUACCUUUAAAAUUGUUUGCAUCUGGUGUUUUGGGGGGAAGGAGAUUUUGAUAACUGAUUCUACUUUUUCUAGCAUUAGUUUAUUCAAGCUUUCUAUUUCUUCUUGAGUCAAUUUUGGUCAUUUAUAUUUUUCUAGAAAACUUCUCUUUCGUAUACAUUUUAUGGUUGCCUCCAGCUAUAGAUGCAUGCAUUAAGGUUCUUGUUCUGUGUUGAUAUUGAGGGAUCUCACAUCCAGUCACACAGUCUGUGGUUGUCUAGCUUCACUUUCUGGCCACAAAAGUCUAUGACUUUUUUCUCCCUCUGAUUUCACUGUCUAAUGUCUUCCAAGCCUGUUGCCCCUGGUUGCAGGCUACCAUUUUUCCCGGGCCUCCUUUUGCUUAUGUGGGAGCUCUGCCUAGCCCUGGCUUCAUGCAGUGAUCCUAGCUUUUCCAUCUAACUUCAGUCUCCUAUAAUCUCUCUUCGUUAACCGACGGAAGCCAAGCUCUAAGAUUACCAGCUCAGGGUGCAGCAGAUCCAUGGGUCUGUUCAGUCUCUUGAUUUUCUGUUCUUUUUCUGGUCCACAGCAAUUGGUUUUGGUUUUAUUGGUUUUUUUUCUUUAAAAAUUUUAACUUUUUGUAGCAGAGAGAGUUGUUAAAGAUGAAAGUCAUUGAGUUGUCUUGAAUGGAGGUUUCCCAGCACCUGCUUUUAACCAUUAGACUAUAGUGCCUCUUUAAUUAAUCACCCCUUUAGCAAUAUCCAGUCAUCCAUCCAGGAAAUUGCUAACUUGUGCACAGUUUCAUGCUCCCUGUAUUGAAGCAAGUGAAGUUCCUUUUGCUGAGAUUACCCUUAUUCUAGCCUAGCACAUAAAUAGAAGGGGUCAUGAAAUCAGUAUUUGACGCUCUUUCGAUGUCUUGAGUCCACUUGCCCCUCCUCCUUGCCCUUGACACUCUCCACUCUAGAGAUGAGGAAAUAGAAGUUCAAGGAGCUAAAAUUAUUGGAGCAAAGCUUCUCUAGGUAAUGGGAGACAUGGAACUAGAACACCUGGGUAGGCUGAUAUCAAACUUGACGUCUCCCCUACAAGAUUAGAGGUUCUCAGCUUUGGUGACACAUAGUAACACUGGGGAUCAUUUAAACAUCCUGAUAUCCUGAAUGGAUUGAGAAUUUUAGAGGUUGAGAAUUUUACAGGUUGGGGUCCAGACUUCUGUAUUUUUUCUAAGCUUGCCAGGUGCUCUCUGAGGCACAGUGAGAUUGAGGAACCCACCACUGAGUAAUGUCCUUUCUUGUUUACUUAAGCCUUCCUUUACGCUCUGUGGUUUUUUUUUUUUUUUUCCAAUGGCAGCCUUCACCCUAUAAGUAAGUGACACGAGCCAGGUCAUUAUUGUUCUCUCCAUCUUACCUACUUUAUAGUAUCCUCCUCCCUCCCCUUUGUUUUUGAUGAUUAAAACUUUUAGCAUAGGAUGUGUGUUUUGUUGCUUCAUGAUCAUCAUCAUAACAAUAACAGUUUACUUUUAAUUGCUCAUUUAAAAUCAACACACUAGUUUCCUUGGUAAGUGUGUAGAUGAAAUAUAUGUAUACACACACACACACACACACACACACACACACACAAAUACACAAAUACAUAUUAGAGGGUCCUGAACACUAAGUAAUCACAUAGCAUAUUCAGUGCUUAGAAUUGGGUCAAUCUCUGGCCCAAGAGCACAUGUGUGCCAUAGGAACUAGAUCCUGGCAUAACUGUGUGUCUUUGCUAGCUCAUUGCUUGCUUCCCCCAAUGUGAGCUAGUCACUUUUCUGAAUCUUGUGAUUGUCAUCUCCUUUAAAACAGUUUUAUUAUAUAUGUACAUUUCUAAGAUUAUGUUGCUUGGUUGGUUAUUUUUUAUUUUUUAGAAAAGAAAUCAUAUUGCCUGUUGUCUUCUGGAACCACCUCUUUUUUCCCCCCCAAAAUAUCAUAUUGCCAAGAGUCAACCAUAUUGUUAUGUGUAGCUACAGUUCAUUAGUUUUGAGUGCCUCACAAUAUUUCAUUGUGGAGUACUCUAGAAUUUACUUAUCCAGUUGGAAUGUUUCCAGAUUUUUGCUUCCAAGAAUAGUACUACUAUGAAUAGUUUUGUACAUUCUUCCUGGUGCACAUAUGUACAAGUGUUUCUUGAGUAUAUACCUAGAAGUGGAAUUAGGGGGUUGCAGGGUAUAUGACAUGUGACUACUUAACUUGAUGAGAUAAUGCCAAAUUUUUUUCCAAUAAGGUUUUACCAGUUUACUCUCCCCCUGACAAUCCUAUGUAUCUAUAUAAUUUCUAACACUUGAUAAUGGCAUCUUUUUUUUUUAAAUUCUGACAAUCAAAUGGGUAUCAGAGGCAUCUAAUUAUGCAUUUCCUUGAUAUUUCCUCAAAUGUUUAUUGGCCAUAUGUAUUUACUCUUCUGUGAGAUGGUCGUUCGUGUCUUCUGUCCCUUUCUAUCAUUUUUUUUUUUGCUCCUUUCUUACAGAUUUAUAGUAGUUCUUUAUAUAUUCUCCACAUGAAUCCUUUUUGAUGGUCUGUGUGGCAAAUGUGUUUUUCCAAUUUUUACUUUAUCUUUUCCUAUAUUGCAUGUGUAAGAUCACACUUUGGCAUCUUCAUUUAGCGCUAUCAACUGUUCCCUCCCAAAAAGGCUUGACGUAGUCAUUUGAUAUAUUCUAUAAUGGUUACAUUAGGUUUCCAUGAUUUCCACUAACUAUCUGUUAAACAUGUGUUAGGGUCCCAGUGGUAGACAAAUAUUCCAAAGUAUUUCUCUGCACUUUAGUGCGGGGUUCUGAGGCUUAGGAUUGUGACUUGGAAGAAAUGUUUCUGGGUAGAGGGGCCACCAUCCCUCAACUCAAACCUGUCUACACCCACUGCUCCAUGGGCAGCUGAAAUAUGUUCAGGAUUCACAUCUUAUAGAACUCUUCUGAAAUACAAUUCCCCAGGAAGCUUUCAUUUUUCUCCAAGUAGUAAAACUCCCACUUCCUGAUAGUUACAAAGAUAGGUUUUGUUGUCAUAAUGCUUUCUCUGUGUGCUGCUUUGCAAUCAGAGUUUUCACCACUCAAUGGAUCCAUCACCGAGCAGCACAUUACAGCAAACGCAUAUCCGUUUGCCUCUAUUAUUGUCAUAAUCAAAAGGCGGGGCUACAUUGAAAUAUUUGCUUCGUGCAUGCAUAUCUGUUAUCCGAAGGGCCCUUUAACCUAAAUGGUGUGCUUUCUGUAAUGUCUUCGGUUAAUGAAUGGGUCUGUGAGGGCCUCAGAGCAGUGCAAUGUGGGAAGAACGCUAUAAUUUCUUUUUAACAUGCAGGAAUUCUGAAUACGAGAAAAUGCAUGCCAAAUUUUAUUGCUUCUAAAUCUGAAUAAUUGUAUUUCUGGGCUGUGCAUCUGGGUAGAUAAUAAAGCCACAAAACAAUUUAAUGAAACAUAUAAAAAAUAAAAUGACAUUACUAAAUAUUAUAAUAUGAAGAAACUAUUUUUUGCAUAUUGUCACCUAAUCUUUCAACCAUAUAGCAACAAAUAAUGCAACCAUAAUUGAAAGUUUUAUUAUCCAUCUGAGUAAAUUGAGCUCAAAUUUACCUUGUUCUCGUUAGUUGGUGGGCAAGCCUAUUGGGGCUACUGACAGGAUUUCAUUUUCGUGGUGGAUUUUUUUUUUUUUUGCCCUUUCUAUGGAAUCUAAAGUGGUCAAUAAAUAGCCCUGCUGCUUAAUCGAUUCUGAACUCAGCUCUUCAGAAAGCCACUCCUCGGCCCUGUGACCCAUGCUGGCAGCCAGCCCUGUGUUUGCUGAGUUUCAGAAACUGGCUCCAGUCUUCCUGGUCCUAAAGCCCCACAAACAUGCCAAGGAGCCCAGUGUCUUUACUCCCUGUUUGCUGCAGGCCCUACUUCCUGAUUGCACUCACACAACUCCGGAGGGGAUGCUCCAUUUGCUAUGGGAGGAAUUAGCAUGGACUCUGAAGCGAGAGCGGGAAGAGACUGAUGGGCUGGCCUAUCGACGAGAUUGCUGAUUCUACUUUGCGAAGGUCCACAAACUGUCCCCCCCCCCCCCGCCCCCAUGGCAGAGGAUGGGGUGGAGGCCGUGCCACGGAAGAAUCCCCUGGCAUUUCUGAUCUAGAGACCCAUGUGUGAGCCCCCACUGCGAGGACUCAGGCCCACUAGUUCUUAGGGGAGUGUGAGCACCUCCAAGCCUCGGGAAAAGACAGCACAUCUUUCUGAAGCAUCUGAAGGGUUGUGGGAAAACUAUUGAUUUCAGCAGUAAUUUUUAGUUAUGCUUAUUGUAAGAUGUUUGGCCUUUUCCUGGAGCUUUGGUUUGAAGAAUCAGUCCACCUGGCUGUUUCCCUGUUUUCAAGUUCACUGCAGUGGGCCUCUUGAAAUUGUCCAAACUGUGGACUGCCCAGAUGUGAGAGGAUGCUUCAUCAGGCAGACUCAGGGGCACCUCACAGCAAGAAAGCUGGGGCUCUGGCAUCACCCUGUCUUUCGUCUCCCAUGUCUGCAUCAGAGAGAGCUAGCAGGAGGAACUAGCAUUAGGCAAGUGAUGCUUCCAGAACCGCUUUCCCCUUCAGAGCUCUGGAAAGAGUCUGGGCCUCAUUUUAUUAGACUCCCCCCACCUUUUUUCUCAGGGAUCUUGUUCCCCUUUUCUGCCUGUUGGCCUGUUCAGGCCAACUCUGCUCCAUCUGGUGUGUUUCACUAACUUCAUGCUUCAAAGAGAAGGGGUUGGGAGUUUUUUGUUGCUUUUCUCCCAAAGCUCUGGUGUGCUUAGGCAGAUGGGCCCAGACCCUUACCCUCAGCCUCCAGGUAUAGAAGGGGGAGGGCUGGAAGGAGGUCCAGCACCCGUGGCCUCAUUCCUGACCCUUCACAGGAGGUCCCAACAGGUCAGAAGUUUCCUUCACAUGUCCCUUCCCCCACUGGAGCAAAUAUGUGGGGCACUUGGGUUGUGCUCUCUAUCAGCGUAAAGCCCUUCUGCUUCAACGGUAACGAAGUCCCUUCUUGACAGAUGAUCCAUGAGGAUUAGGAAAACCUCACCACCGACAAACGCCUCUCCCCACUGAC